rnacentral:rRNA from 1 species
AGCGAACGCUGGCGGCGUGCCUAACACAUGCAAGUCGAACGUGAACGGGGGCAACCCCUAGUAAAGUGGCGUACGGGUGAGUAACGCGUAGGUAAUCUACCCCAGAAUCUGGAAUAACCGGCCGAAAGGCUGGCUAAUACUGGAUAGAGCGAUGGAAUCCGUAAUUGGGUUUUUCGGGAAAGGGGGGCCGUAAGGUCUCUCGUUUUGGGAUGAGCCUGCGUCUCAUUAGCUAGUUGGUGGGGUAAUGGCCCACCAAGGCAUUGAUGGGUAGCUGGUCUGAGAGGAUGAUCAGCCAAACUGGAACUGAAACACGGUCCAGACUCCUACGGGAGGCAGCAGUGGGGAAUCUUGCGCAAUGGACGAAAGUCUGACGCAGCCACGCCGCGUGAGUGAAGAAGGCCUUCGGGUUGUAAAGCUCUGUCGAGCGGGACGAAAAGCAAUUAGGCUCAUACCCUAGUUGCCUGACGGUACCGCUAAAGGAAGCACCGGCUAACUCUGUGCCAGCCGCCGCAGU